AGGACUCCAGCCGGGAGUGGGCAUUCCUCCGGAGCUUGGGCUGGACGACACGCAGCACGAGCCAGCAUUCUGAAAGCCACAGUAAGAAUGUCUGCUACCACUUCAGUCCCACUCACGGAACCACUGGAAGAGUCUGAAAUUUUAAGUGUCAACAUGCAAUAAAAUUGGGCAAACAUAAGGAGGAUUAGAAAAAACGAAACCAUGGCAACAAACCAUAAACAGCGCCAACCUCGCCUCAUCUUUAUCUUAUUUAACUGGGUAAACAGCAGCUCCGACACAAUUAUAUGCCCCAAGAUGCUGCUGCGACAUUACUAGGUUACAGUGAACUCACUGUCAGCUGAUGCCAUUGGAAUAAACAACACCUGUAGGUUUUUUUCCAAAACCAAACGGUUUGCACCGUGUGUGUGUGU